rnacentral:lncRNA from 1 species
CCUAGAUUAGGAGGCCACAGAGAUCUGUUUACACUUUGUAGCCCAGGGCUCUUGGCUCUGGUCCACAAGCUGGAGAGUGUAAACGACAGGAAUUUCAGGCUAACAUUGACUUCCCUCUUGACCUGUGUGUCUUAACCAGAGAAAAGCAGGUAGAAGGCCCUGUUGUCACUUGCCUGAGAGCAGCAAGUAGCAUACAGAACAUGGUCUUCCAGGUAGAGGAGUUGACAUGGAGGUCCCCUGUGGUGAAGACAUGGGUUUUCAUCACUCAAGCAGAAUCUGACUGUUCUAUCAUGGAAUCAAGAAGGUGUGGACACCUACCUGUGGGUCGAAGCUUGGGGGAAUGUAGCUUCAGCUUCCUGCGGAAGCCAGAGUUCUGGAGAUAG